rnacentral:misc_RNA from 1 species
ACUGUGUUCCCACUCGUGUAUUCAGUAAAGGCUGUGGCGUCAGGGAGCGUGGAGGUGAUCAGGAAGGUUUCGAAGGCGGCAGCUAGUGGCGCCAAUGGUAGUGUGGUGGAUUCCAAUGCAGAGAAGUUAGUUGGAGUUUCAGAUGUGGUCACACAUUUGGCCCCCUUCUUAGCGUCGUCGUUGGAUCCAGCAUUGAUUUUUGAGGUGGGAAUUAAUAUGUUGUACUUGUCUGAUGUGCCUGGAGGCAAGCCGGAGUGGGCUUCACAAUCUAUUAUUGCCAUUUUGACGCUUUGGGAUAGGCAGGAAUUUUCUUCGGCGAGGGAGAGUAUUGUUCGAGCUGUUGUUACAAAUCUGCACCUCCUUGAUCUUCAUAUGCAAGUUUCAUUGUUUAAAAGGCUACUUCUGAUGGUGAGAAAUUUGAGAGCAGAAUCAGACCGUAUGCAUGCUUUAGCAUGUAUUUGCCGGACAGCUCUUUGUGUUGACCUUUUUGCUAAGGAAAGUGUACGAAGAGGUCAGAAACCUCUUGCAGGCACUGACAUUGCUUCUCUUUUUGAGGAUGCAAGAAUAAGGGAUGAUCUCAAUAGUGCAACAAGUAAAAGCUUAUUUAGGGAGGAGUUAGUGGCAUCACUAGUGGAAAGUUGCUUCCAGUUGUCUCUACCUUUGCCCGAACAGACGAACUCAGGAAUGGAGAGCAGAGUGAUUGG